rnacentral:rRNA from 1 species
GAUGAACGCUGGCGGCGUGCCUAAUACAUGCGAGUCGAGCGAACGGACGAGAAGCUUGCUUCUCUGAUGUUAGCGGCGGACGGGUGAGUAACACGUGGAUAACCUACCUAUAAGACUGGGAUAACUUCGGGAAACCGGAGCUAAUACCGGAUAAUAUUUUGAACCGCAUGGUUCAAAAGUGAAAGACGGUCUUGCUGUCACUUAUAGAUGGAUCCGCGCUGCAUUAGCUAGUUGGUAAGGUAACGGCUUACCAAGGCAACGAUGCAUAGCCGACCUGAGAGGGUGAUCGGCCACACUGGAACUGAGACACGGUCCAGACUCCUACGGGAGGCAGCAGUAGGGAAUCUUCCGCAAUGGGCGAAAGCCUGACGGAGCAACGCCGCGUGAGUGAUGAAGGUCUUCGGAUCGUAAAACUCUGUUAUUAGGGAAGAACAUAUGUGUAAGUAACUGUGCACAUCUUGACGGUACCUAAUCAGAAAGCCACGGGUAACUACGUG